UGAACAAAUCUCAUCCCCCAAGAAGAGGCCC
rnacentral:piRNA from 1 species